rnacentral:rRNA from 1 species
GUAGUCAUAUGCUUGUCUCAAAGAUUAAGCCAUGCAUGUCUAAGAAUAAGCAAUUAUACAGCGAAACUGCGAAUGGCUCAUUAUAUAAGUUAUCGUUUAUUUGAUAGUGCCUGUCCUACUUGGAUAACCGAGGUAAUUCUAGAGCUAAUACAUGCUAAGAAUCCCGACUUCGGAAGGGAUGUAUUUAUUAGAUUAAAAACCAAUGCCCUUCGGGGCUCUCUGGUGAUUCAUGAUAACUUCACGGAUCGCACGGCCUUGCGCCGGCGAUGGUUCAUUCAAAUUUCUUCCCUAUCAACUUUCGAAGUUUGGGUAUUGGCCAAACUUGGUUACAACGGGUAACGGGGAAU